rnacentral:piRNA from 1 species
UGGAGUUCAGCAAAAGACAGCAGCAGGUUC